CCUACGGGGGGCAGCAGUAGGGAAUAUUGCUCAAUGGGGGAAACCCUGAAGCAGCAACGCCGCGUGGAGGAUGAAGGUUUUAGGUUUGUAAACUCCUUUUGUUAGAGAAGAUUAUGACGGUAUCUAACGAAUAAGCACCGGCUAACUCCGUGCCAGCAGCCGCGGUAAUACGGAGGGUGCAAGCGUUACUCGGAAUCACUGGGCGUAAAGGGGGCGUAGGCGGGGUAGUAAGUCAGGUGUGAAAUGCUGUGGCUUAACUACAGAACUGCAUUUGAAACUGUUACUCUGGAGUGUGGGAGAGGUAAGUGGAAUUCUUGGUGUAGGGGUAAAAUCCGUAGAGAUCAAGAGGAAUACUCAUGGCGAAGGCGACCUGCUGGAACAUUACUGACGCUGAGGCACGAAAGCGUGGGGAGCAAACAGGAUUAGAUACCCGAGUAGUC
rnacentral:rRNA from 1 species